CGCCUCUUGAUCUUGAAUAAGAGGUCCAGCCUGCCCGGUGACAAAGUUUAACGGCCGCGGUACCCUAACCGUGCGAAGGUAGCAUAAUCACUUGUUCUUUAAAUAGGGACUAGUAUCAAUGGCAUCACGAGGGUUACACUGUCUCCUUUCUCCAAUCAGUGAAACUGAUCUCCCCGUGAAGAAGCGAGGAUAAAACUAUUAGACGAGAAGACCCCAUGGAGCUUUAAGCUCAACAACAACCCUUAUAAAAAUAAUUCCUCAUAAUACAUAGACCCUGUUUGUUAGCUUUAGGUUGGGGUGACCGCGGAGUAUAAUUUAACCUCCGUAACGAAAAGGCUUAAAACCCUUAUCCAAGAGCCACUGCUCUAAGAAUCACUAAAUUGACGUACAAUGAUCCAAUUUUUGAUCAACGAACCAAGUUACCCUGGGGAUAACAGCGCAAUCCAUUUUUAGAGCCCCUAUCGACAAAUGGGUUUACGACCUCGAUGUUGGAUCAGGGUAUCCUAGUGGUGCAGCCGCUACUAAAGGUUCGUUUGUUCAACGAUUAAAACCCU
rnacentral:rRNA from 1 species